AGUCGUACAGUCUCGUGUGACCAGCGAGGAUCAUUACAGAGUUUUCUAAACUCCCAACCCAUGUGAACUUACCUUUUGUUGCCUCGGGCAAGGAAGGGUUAACCCUGGGUAACCCUGGGAAGGAACAAGGGUUUAACCCCUGGUAAGGCCAAACCUUGGCCCGGUGGACUACUAAACUCUUGUUAUUUUAUGUAAUCUGAGCGUCUUAUUUUAAUAAGUCAA
rnacentral:misc_RNA from 1 species